GAUGAACGCUGGCGGCGUGCCUAAUACAUGCAAGUCGAGCGAACAGACGAGGAGCUUGCUCCUCUGACGUUAGCGGCGGACGGGUGAGUAACACGUGGAUAACCUACCUAUAAGACUGGGAUAACUUCGGGAAACCGGAUCUAAUACCGGAUAAUAUAUUGAACCGCAUGGUUCAAUAGUGAAAGACGGUUUUGCUGUCACUUAUAGAUGGAUCCGCGCCGCAUUAGCUAGUUGGUAAGGUAACGGCUUACCAAGGCAACGAUGCGUAGCCGACCUGAGAGGGUGAUAGGCCACACUGGAACUGAGACACGGUCAAGACUCCUAAGGGAGGCAGCAGUAGGGAAUCUGACGCAAUGGGCGAAAGCCUGACGGAGCAACGCCGCGUGAGUGAUGAAGGUGUUCGGAUCGUAAAACUCUGUUAUUAGGGAAGAACAAAUGUGUAAGUAACUAUGCACGUCUUGACGGUACCUAAUCAGAAAGCCACGGCUAACUACGUG
rnacentral:rRNA from 1 species